AAAUACUCAUAGGUAGAAGCUCACAAUGAAUCGUUUUGAUUGAUAAAAGAGAGCGUAUUAUGUACAUGAUUGUCCUAUUUAUAAAGAUCGGCUGUACUAACUAAUUGAGUAACUAAUUCCUAAUUGACUAACUAAAUUUAACGGUUUAUAUUCUGUAACAGGCCUAUUUCGCAAUCAUGAACCUUGUUUUUAGAAAAACCCUCAAUGCAAGGCUACAUAGCUCAUAUAAUAUGGUGGGCAAAUACCUUUUUCCUCAGACAGGAAAACUAUGAUAUUCUAAUUCAAAAUGGUUGAAAAAUAGAAGAAUAUAUACAAGAGAACAUAUCAACAAGCCUGCCCUGCCACAGAUUCUACUCUACUCCCAUUUUUAAUCUCUUAAACUAAAUAAUAAAAAAAAAAAAUAGGCUAAACAGAUUUAAGGAAAUCCCUCCUAAUCUCACUUGUUGGUUAUUUGUUUAAAAUACUAUUUUCUAAUUUUCAUUUUCCUCAAAACCAGAAAAAGUGAAGAGAACCUCAUACACUACUACAAUUUUGGCCUACAAUAGCAC
rnacentral:lncRNA from 1 species